CAGAUAUUUGCUCUACAUUUCAGAACUGCAGCUUUAUCUGUGCAAGAUAACAAUUUCCAUGAUAGAAAAGACUUUUGCUUCAUUGAAUGCAUCUGAAAAAGCCCUGAGUUCCAUGAACAGCAUAAAGCCAGAAAGGACUGAAGAACAUGUUGCAGAGGGAAGAAACAUCAACCUGGCCUGUAAAUAUGAGGGUGUUAUCUCCAAUAUCCAGUGGUACCGACAAUACCAGAGAUCCAGACCAGAGUUCCUGCUCUACAUCACAGAGGGAGGAUCGAUCCAUCCAACUGGUUCUGGUGUCUCAGCUCACAUCAACAAAACAGAGAAACGUGUAGAUGUGGAGAUCAUCUCAGCUAAAGUGACUGACUCUGCUGUGUACUACUGUGCUCUGCAGCCCACAGUGACAGGAAACAGCAAAACUCUGCACAAAAACCUCUGCAGCAAACACAACACAAUACUCCACAACGUCCACUAGAGGGAGUCACACACUGCUCAAUUUCAACAGGAUGAUGAUGCUACAGCCUGGAAUCACUGUCCUCUCAGACAUGAUUAUGAUGUAUUUCUGAGUUGAGAUCAACAAAUAAAUCUGACCUUGAGCAUUAUCCUGCUUGUACCAUGGUCACCUGCCCCCCAAAACUGAAUCUAUUUAGAAUUUCUUGAGUUCUGCAAUCAAAAAGUUUUUCACAAGCCAUAAAUCAGUUUCCUUGGUAACACCUGGUAGUUUGACUGAUGCCUGGAACAAUCUUAACAAUCCCAUGUAGUCUCACAGCUGCAGACACCGCAUCCC